GCUGCGAGUGAACAAUUCUCUGCCAUAAUUUAAGGAAUGGCAAUCCUUGAAGUACUCCAGGUGGCUAAAGAGGCACAUGAAAAGAGACAGUGUUGUUGCAGAAUAAGAGAGAGAAAGGUCCAUUAAUGUUUUGCUCGAAAAGGUUCGCCAAGUUUUCUCUUUAUCACUAAGGAAAGAGUAUGUUUCAAGAACAAGGAGUUCAUCACUUGUGUCAAAUUUUGCUAGAAGGUCAAGCUGAAGGAAGAGAGAAUUAACCCUGGAUUUGGCAAGAUAGGAUAAUUGAUGUCCAUGUCAAGAGAGGAUUUUGCGGAUUGGUGGGGAAAGAAGCAUAAUUGGAGCGGAUUGAGGAGAGAAUGGAAAUAUAUAGACCCUUCUGAGUUAUGUCCACUUAGAAGAAAGCAGUUGAACAUGGAAAAGAAGCAUCUUUAUUUUCUCUGCACCAGAGAAGAGAUGAAUAAGUAUGAAUUAUGUUUAGAAAAAGGAGAUACCAUACCCAGUUCCCAUGAGAUAUUUGUGGUCUGAAGUAUGGGAAAUGCUGCUCAAUUUCUUGGAGGAAAAUCCGAAGUUAGCCCUAGAACUUUAAUCUUUUUUAUUGAUUCUGCCAAGUUGGA